rnacentral:rRNA from 1 species
AUUGAACGCUAGCUGCAGGCCUAACACAUGCAAGUCGAGCGAUCGGCGGACGGGUGAGUAAUGUAUGGGUAUCUGCCCUAUCGAUGGGUAUAACUUCUGGAACCGGUGGCUAAUACCGCAUACUAUCGGAUAAUCCCAUAUGGGAUUAGCUAGUAGGUGGGGUAAAGGCUCACCUAGGCGACGAUCUCUAGCUGGUCGGAGAGGAUGAUAAGCCACACUGGGACGGAGACAAGGCACAGACUCAUACGGGAGGCAGCAGUGGGGAAUAGGGCACAAUGGGCGCAAGGGUGAUGCAGCCAUGCCGCGUGGAGGAAGAAGGCCUGAGGGUUGGAAAGGACUUUCAGCGGGGAGGCGGUACCAGAAGAAGAAGCACCGGCUAACUCCGUGCCAGCAGCCGCGGUAAUUC